rfam:Schistosoma rodhaini strain Burundi genome assembly, scaffold: SROB_scaffold0012631
AUCCAUCUGACGAGUCCCAAAUAGGACGAAACACGCGUCCUGGAU